AUUGAACGCUGGCGGCAGGCCUAACACAUGCAAGUCGAGCGGAUGAAGGGAGCUUGCUCCUGGAUUCAGCGGCGGACGGGUGAGUAAUGCCUAGGAAUCUGCCUGGUAGUGGGGGAUAACGUCCGGAAACGGGCGCUAAUACCGCAUACGUCCUGAGGGAGAAAGUGGGGGAUCUUCGGACCUCACGCUAUCAGAUGAGCCUAGGUCGGAUUAGCUAGUUGGUGGGGUAAAGGCCUACCAAGGCGACGAUCCGUAACUGGCCUGAGAGGAUGAUCAGUCACUCUGGAACUGAGACACGGUCCAGACUCCUACGGGAGGCAGCAGUGGGGAAUAUUGGACAAUGGGCGAAAGCCUGAUCCAGCCAUGCCGCGUGUGUGAAGAAGGUCUUCGGAUUGUAAAGCACUUUAAGUUGGGAGGAAGGGCAGUAAGUUAAUACCUUGCUGUUUUGACGUUACCAACAGAAUAAGCACCGGCUAACUUCGUG
rnacentral:rRNA from 1 species